rnacentral:rRNA from 1 species
GACGAACGCUGGCGGCGUGCCUAAUACAUGCAAGUCGAGCGGACAGAAGGGAGCUUGCUCCCGGACGUUAGCGGCGGACGGGUGAGUAACACGUGGGCAACCUGCCCCUUAGACUGGGAUAACUCCGGGAAACCGGAGCUAAUACCGGAUAAUCCCUUUCUCCACCUGGAGAGAGGGUGAAAGAUGGCUUCGGCUAUCACUAGGGGAUGGGCCCGCGGCGCAUUAGCUAGUUGGUAAGGUAACGGCUUACCAAGGCAACGAUGCGUAGCCGACCUGAGAGGGUGAUCGGCCACACUGGGACUGAGACACGGCCCAGACUCCUACGGGAGGCAGCAGUAGGGAAUCUUCCGCAAUGGACGAAAGUCUGACGGAGCAACGCCGCGUGAGUGAGGAAGGCCUUCGGGUCGUAAAGCUCUGUUGUGAGGGAA